GGAAUAGCUCCGGGAAACUGGAAUUAAUACCGCAUACGCCCUACGGGGGAAAGAUUUAUCGGGGAAGGAUUGGCCCGCGUUGGAUUAGCUAGUUGGUGGGGUAAAGGCCUACCAAGGCGACGAUCCAUAGCUGGUCUGAGAGGAUGAUCAGCCACAUUGGGACUGAGACACGGCCCAAACUCCUACGGGAGGCAGCAGUGGGGAAUAUUGGACAAUGGGCGCAAGCCUGAUCCAGCCAUUCCGCGUGAGUGAUGAAGGCUUUAGGGUUGUAAGGCUCUUUCACCGGAGAAGGUAAUGACGGUAUCCGGAGAAG
rnacentral:rRNA from 1 species